rnacentral:rRNA from 1 species
GUCUAUGGCCAUACCACCUUGAAUACACCUGAGUUUGGAAGCUAUAGAGUUGGGCCUGGUUAGUACCUUGAUGGAAGACUGCCUGGGAACACCACAUGUUGUAGGUU